rnacentral:rRNA from 1 species
CCUACGGGUGGCAGCAGUGGGGAAUAUUGGACAAUGGGCGAAAGCCUGAUCCAGCCAUGCCGCGUGUGUGAAGAAGGCCUUCGGGUUGUAAAGCACUUUUAGCGGGGAAGAAAGCCUUGGGGCUAAUACCCUCGAGGAAGGACAUCACCCACAGAAGAAGCACCGGCUAACUCCGUGCCAGCAGCCGCGGUAAUACGGAGGGUGCGAGCGUUAAUCGGAAUUACUGGGCGUAAAGCGCGCGUAGGCGGUCUGAUAAGCCGGUUGUGAAAGCCCCGGGCUCAACCUGGGAACGGCAUCCGGAACUGUCAGGCUAGAGUGCAGGAGAGGAAGGUAGAAUUCCCGGUGUAGCGGUGAAAUGCGUAGAGAUCGGGAGGAAUACCGAUGGCGAAGGCGGCCCUCUGGACUGACACUGACGCUGAGGUGCGAAAGCGUGGGUAGCAAACAGGAUUAGAUACCCGAGUAGUC